GUCGCUGUAGCCCAGUUGGUAGAGCGUCGACAGUACAGAUGGCGAAGGUCGCUGGUUCAAAUCAAGCCUGCGGUG